rnacentral:rRNA from 1 species
CCUACGGGUGGCAGCAGUGGGGAAUAUUUGGCAAUGGGCGCAAGCCUGACCCAGCAACGCCGCGUGAAGGAAGAAGGCUUUCGGGUUGUAAACUUCUUUUGUCAGGGACGAGUAGAAGACGGUACCUGACGAAUAAGCCACGGCUAACUACGUGCCAGCAGCCGCGGUAAUACGUAGGUGGCAAGCGUUGUACGGAUUGACUGGGUGUAAAGGGCGUGUAGCCGGGUUGACAAGUCAGAUGUGAAAUCCUGCGGCUUAACCGCAGAACUGCAUUUGAAACUGUUGAUCUUGAGUACUGGAGAGGCAGACGGAAUUCCUGGUGUAGCGGUGAAAUGCGUAGAUAUUAGGAGGAACACCAGUGGCGAAGGCGGUCUGCUGGACAGCAACUGACGGUGAGGCGCGAAAGCGUGGGGAGCAAACAGGAUUAGAUACCCCUGUAGUC